CCUUGAAAAACCUCAGUCACUCCCGGGCUCUGUCCAGGUGGCAUCGGGGAGCCCAGGGCUCUGCCCGGUGAUGCACGGCCCCUUUCCACAACCUUGGAGAGAAAGUCAGGCCUCGAGUCUGUGCCUGCGUCUCCCUACGGCUUCUCAGAGUCCUCUGGACAGGGACCGAGGAGACAAACCGUGCAGGAAACAUCU